AGGGAAAGGUGGGGAUGACGUCAAAUCAUCAUGCCCCUUAUGACCUGGGCUACACACGUACUACAAUGGCGUAUACAACGGGAAGCGAAAUGGUGACAUGGAGCAAAUCUCACAAAGUACGUCUCAGUUCGGAUUGAAGUCUGCAACUCGACUUCAUGAAGUCGGAAUCGCUAGUAAUCGCGGAUCAGCAUGCCGCGGUGAAUACGUUCUCGGGCCUU
rnacentral:rRNA from 1 species